rnacentral:lncRNA from 1 species
CACACUUUGCGUUCCGCGGCCCCGGCCCCUUGGUUUCCUAGUCCUGGCUCCAUUCCCCUCUCAGGCCUAGGGCUGGGACCCCUCCCCGCCCCCGGUCUUGGCCCUGCCCCCUUCAACAGACGGUCCGCCCCGGCCCCUCCCCCUCGUCCCGCCCGGCCCUGGCAGGCCCCGCCCCCUGCGGCCUCUACCUUUGACGUCUUCCCCCGGGAGGUGGCGGGGGUCUGCGACCGAAUGCCGGCGGGACUCUGGGUCAGGGCUUCUGGCGGGCCCUGCGGGGGGCAGCGAGGUGACCGUGAACCUGCGGCUCAUGGCGCGGAAAGGAGCCAGGCGGCCGCGGCAAGGUCCGGGAUCGCACAAGUGGCUGCAACCAGGCUCUAGGAGGGAGAAAGAGCGGAUCCCCCAACCCCCUCCGCCCGCCCGCCCCCCGCGAGACGCGGCGCCGCGCAGGGUCCUAGUGCCCGCUGUGCGAAGGGUUCCUGAAUCUGGCCACUUCGCUGGGAGGCCCUGGGCUCCCCAGUGCCACCCGAAGGGCCUGAGGAGGCCAUCUGCAGGAUCAUUCUGGCUGCUGGGCGAAGGUUCAACUAAAGAAUGGCAAGAGUAGAAGCUGGAAAUCUAAUUAGGAGGCUCCUGCAGACCCCAAGCUGGGGGGUGAUGACAGCCAGACUAGAGUGGUGGCAGUUGUCUGAUUCCAGUUAGGUUUUGAAAGUGAAACCAUCAGGACCCACUGAUGGAUCGGAUGUGACACGUGACCAUAAGAGUGAAGUCAAGGAGAAAUCCUGGCAAUUCACACACUGCUGGUGGGAGUGUAGUUAGGCAAAAACUACUUUGGGAAACUAUGAAUCUCACUCUGUCGCCCAGGCCAGAGUACAGUGUCAUGAUCUUGGCUCACUGCAACCUCCACCUCCCAGUUCAAGAAAUUCUCCUACCUCAGCCUCCCAAGUAGCUGGGAUUACAAGCACAGUGCCUGGCACAUUAUCGGCACUUGAUGACUGUUGUCUAAUAACUGAGCUUCCAUACAAACCACCUGCCGUCCUGUACUGAAGGAGAAAGAGCUUCCAGCCGGGGAGGCAGGAAAUCUGGGUCCUGGUCUUGGUUGCAUCCCUGACUUCCUAAAUGACCUGGAGAAGGCCUCUGCCUCUGCUGGGAUCUUGUCUGUGCUGGGGCAUUUGUUUCCAUUUCCAAGGGCUUUUUCUUCCUCGCUCAGAAUUUGACCACUCACUAAGAGGAGCUUAGUGUGGUGUCUCACGAAGGGAUCCUCCUCAGCCCUCACCUCGGUACUGGAAGACGUCGUGCGUGUCCAAAGGCACCCCGGGGAACAUCCGGUCCACCUCGCUGGCGCUCCGGGGAUCCACCAUCUGCGCCUUCACGUCGAACCUGCGGGCAGGCGCGGAGGAGACAGGUGCUGAGCCGGCUAGCGGACGGACCGACGGCGCCCGGGCUCCCCCUGCCGGCGGCCGCGGCGGCGCUCACCUCCAGAGGCGCCGCCCGCUGAACAGCAGCAUCUUCCCCCUGCCACUCCGGAGGGCCCCGGUCACCUGGGCCACGUCGGCUCCCAGGCCCAGCUUGUCCAGACGCCUCGGGCCCAGCACCGACGCGCCUGUGUACACCCACACCUGGCGCCCUGCAGGGGAGGAGGGUCACGUCGGUUUGGGGGCGCAGAGGGAGCACGUACUCCUAGAACGCGAGGAGGGAGAUUCCGGCGAGGCCUUUCCUAGCCCGCGUGCCCGCAGUCCCUGCAACCCAGGGGCAGAGGCGCUGGGUAGAGCGACGCGAGGGCGUGGAGAGGAGGGGGCAGAAACUCAGCCGCCCCUACGUUUGCUAAACUGCGUCCGCCAGGGGGCGUAUUUUUCUAAAACGCACAAGACGUUUCGUGGGUUAUCGAUGGUCUCUUGAGCCUCCUUGACUGAUGGGGAUUGACCGGGCGGGGGAGGGAAAGUAGGUAACUAACCAGAGAAGAAGAAAAGCUUCUUGGAGAGCCGCUCCUCAAAGACCGAGUCCAGCUUGCGGGGCAGCGCGGGCCACUUGUCGGCGAUAAGGAAGGGGCCCUGCGGCCGGCUCCCCCUGCCCUCAGAGAAUCGCCAGUACUUCCUGAGAAAGCGAGGAGGGAAAGGACGGGCUCUAAGCCUUGGACACAGGGCCAGUGGGCGGGAAGGGACGGGCAGCCCCUCCGCAAAGCCCCCUCCCGCAUCCACACAACCCCGCCUCCUCACCCAUCCUUGAACAAAUACAGCUGGUUCCCAAU